GAACUCUCUGGGCCCCUGCGAUGUAGGUUGCCUAAGGCAGCUGUCUUGGGAGUGAUGCUGGAGUUUGGAUCAUAUUCCAUGCGCCCGUGGCUCCAAAUGCCCAUCAUUCCUCAGUACUGGGCAAAGGUUGUUCAGCCUCAGGUGAAGUGAGACAAAGAAGGACGUCAAGAGGUUUUGCUGGGUUUGAUGGGUUUCAUCUGGGACGGGUUACAAUGCAUUUUGUGUAAUCAUCUCUUUUCAUUAAGUGGCAGGCAUUGUAGAUACAGUUCAGUCAUUCUUUUUUAUGGCAUGUUUAGUUGGCA
rnacentral:lncRNA from 1 species